rnacentral:rRNA from 1 species
UACGGAGGGUGCAAGCGUUAUCCGGAUUCACUGGGUUUAAAGGGUGCGUAGGAGGGCAGGUAAGUCAGUGGUGAAAUCUCCGGGCUUAACUCGGAAACUGCCGUUGAUACUCUCUGUCUUGAAUCCCGUGGAGGUGAGCGGAAUAUGUCAUGUAGCGGUGAAAUGCUUAGAUAUGACAUAGAACACCAAUUGCGAAGGCAGCUCGCUACACGAAGAUUGACUCUGAGGCACGAAAGCGUGGGGAUCAAACAGG